UCCCUUGGUGCUACACAUUGGUACUAGAAAAGAAGUUAUCUGUGUUUCUUCACCUUAUUUAUGAUGGAAAAUAUGGGUGCACUUCUAUUUGAGUAUCAUAUCCCAUCACCAAGGGCUG
rnacentral:pre_miRNA from 15 species